ACUAGCAGUAAGAGUUUGAUCAUGGCUCAGGACGAACGCUGGCGGCACGCCUAACACAUGCAAGUCGAACGGCCCCUUCGGGGGCAGUGGCGGACGGGUGAGUAACGCGUGGGAACCUGCCCCUUGGUUCGGGACACCCGGGAAACCCGGGCUAAUACCGGAUGCGCUCCUGGCUUUGGCUGGGAGGAAAGAUUGAUCGCCGAGGGAUGGGCCCGCGUCGGAUUAGGUUGUUGGUGAGGUAACGGCUCACCAAGCCUACGAUCCGUAGCUGGUCUGAGAGGAUGAUCAGCCACACUGGGACUGAGACACGGCCCAGACUCCUACGGGAGGCAGCAGUGGGGAAUCUUGGACAAUGGACGCAAGUCUGAUCCAGCGAUGCCGCGUGAGCGAUGAAGGCCUUAGGGUUGUAAAGCUCUUUCGCCCGCGACGAUGAUGACGGUAGCGGGAGAAGAAGCCCCGGCUAACUCCGUGCCAGCCGCCGCGGUAAUAC
rnacentral:rRNA from 1 species